UACGGGGGGGGCAAGCGUUGUUCGGAAUUACUGGGCGUAAAGGGUUCGUAGGUGGCUUGUUAAGUCAGACGUGAAAUCCCUCGGCUCAACCGGGGAACUGCGUCUGAGACUGAUGAGCUCGAGUGCAGGAGAGGAACGCGGAAUUCCAGGUGUAGCGGUGAAAUGCGUAGAUAUCGGGAGGAACACCUGUGGCGAAGGCGGCCCCCUGGUCGGAUACUGACGCUGAGACGCGAAAGCGUGGGGAGCAAACAGG
rnacentral:rRNA from 1 species